ACGAACGCUGGCGGCGUGCUUCACACAUGCAAGUCGAACGGAAAGGCCCUGCUUUUGUGGGGUGCUCGAGUGGCGAACGGGUGAGUAACACGUGAGUAACCUGCCCUUGACUUUGGGAUAACUUCAGGAAACUGGGGCUAAUACCGGAUAGGAGCUCCUGCUGCAUGGUGGGGGUUGGAAAGUUUCGGCGGUUGGGGAUGGACUCGCGGCUUAUCAGCUUGUUGGUGGGGUAGUGGCUUACCAAGGCUUUGACGGGUAGCCGGCCUGAGAGGGUGACCGGCGACAUUGGGACGGAGGUGGGGCCCGGAGGGCUGCGGGAGGAAGCAGUGGGGGAUAUUGCGCAAUGGGCGGAGGCCUGAUGCAGCAGCGCCGCGUGGGGGAGGACGGCCGUCGGGUUGUAAACCGCUUUCGCCUGUGACGAAGCGUGAGUGACGGUAAUGGGUAAAGAAGCACCGGCUAACUACGUG
rnacentral:rRNA from 1 species